rnacentral:rRNA from 1 species
AACGAACGCUGGCGGCAGGCCUAACACAUGCAAGACGAGCGAGGACUUCGGUCCUAGCGGCGGACGGGUGAGUAACGCGUGGGAACGUGCCCUUUGCUUCGGAAUAGCCCUGGGAAACUGGGAGUAAUACCGGAUGAGCCCUUUGGGGGAAAGAUUUAUCGGCGAAGGAUCGGCCCGCGUUGGAUUAGGUAGUUGGUGGGGUAAUGGCCUACCAAGCCGACGAUCCAUAGCUGGUUUGAGAGGAUGAUCAGCCACACUGGGACUGAGACACGGCCCAGACUCCUACGGGAGGCAGCAGUGGGGAAUCUUAGACAAUGGGGGAAACCCUGAUCUAGCCAUGCCGCGUGAGCGAUGAAGGCCUUAGGGUUGUAAAGCUCUUUCAGCUGGGAAGAUAAUGACGGUACCAGCAGAAGAAGCCCCGGCUAACUCCGUG